rnacentral:rRNA from 1 species
UGGGGAAUAUUGCGCAAUGGGGGGAACCCUGACGCAGCCAUGCCGCGUGAAUGAAGAAGGCCUUAGGGUUGUAAAGUUCUUUCGGUAUUGAGGAAGGUUGAUGUGUUAAUAGCACAUCAAAUUGACGUUAAAUACAGAAGAAGCACCGGCUAACUCCGUGCCAGCAGCCGCGGUAAUACGGAGGGUGCGAGCGUUAAUCGGAAUAACUGGGCGUAAAGGGCACGCAGGCGGUUAUUUAAGUGAGGUGUGAAAGCCCCGGGCUUAACCUGGGAAUUGCAUUUCAGACUGGGUAACUAGAGUACUUUAGGGAGGGGUAGAUAGAAUUCCACGUGUAGCGGUGAAAUGCGUAGAGAUGUGGAGGAAUACCGAAGGCGAAGGCAGCCCCUUGGGAAUGUACUGACGCUCAUGUGCGAAAGCGUGGGGAGCAAACAGGAUUAGAUACCCUGGUAGUCCACGCUGUAACGCUGUUGUAAACGCUGUCGAUUUGGGGGUUGGGGUUUAACUCUGGCGCCCGUAGCUAACGUGAUAAAUCGACCGCCUGGGGAGUACGGGCCGCAAGGUUA